GUUGGUUGCCUCUCCAAACGGUUUCGCACCUUAGGACACGAUGGAAUAGAAAUUUUUUCCUUGCAAAAUUUUUCAGUUCACACUUUCCAUCUCUACUUCUUGAUCGAUCGGGCAUAUGCAGACCCAACAAAAAGGUUGAGAAUUUUAUUAAGGCUGGGUGGUGGUAUCAAGCAAGAGAGCGGAUAAAAAAUAUCAGCCGAAAGGUGUGGAUUUUAAGAUCUCACUGUUGGUGGGAAGAAGUUGAAGCUUACAAUUUGGGAUACCGCUGGACAAGAGAGGUUCAGGACCUUGACAAGCUCAUACUACAGAGGUGCUCAAGGGAUCGUUCUUGGACUGGAUAUCUCACCGGGACGGAACAAGUGAAAGGAAGCAGGGAAGCUUAGCAUUAAUCACGAAAUUCCAUAUGGAUGGUUCUAGACUAACAUGGGGUGCAUCGGACACAGUCUCUCUUUUUGGCUUAGUUGUUAUAGGUGUUUUCUGAUUGCGCUACUACUUUUGUAGUUGUGACCCUGUCACAUUUUGUUCAACUUAGUCAGGGACUAUUAUGCAGUAGUUGUUCUAAGGCUUAACCAUGAUAAAACCUCGAUAGUUUUAUAUAAGCAGCUACUUACUACAUGCUACAUUUUGCUGUAAAAUACUAUGGAGGAUGCCCUUACCACAUUAAUAGCGGUGUAACAUCCAUUCUGUUGUA